GAUUUCUGGUUCGGUCGCACUGGCCCGCCUCUUCGGAGGUGUGUUGCCGGCUGUGGCCAGCCAUCCUUCCGGUUAACAAUCCUAGUCUUCGUUGAUGUGGGGUUGUGAUCCGGAUCUUUUACUUUGAAAAAAUUAGAGUGUUUCAAGCAGGCUUUAUGCUAUGAAUACAUUAGCAUGGAAUAAUAAUUUAGGACUUCGGUUCUAUUUUGUUGGUUUCUAGGACUGAAGUAAUGAUUGAUAGGGAUAGUUGGGGGUGCUAGUAUUCAGCGGCCAGAGGUGAAAUUCUCGGAUUCGCUGAAGACUAACUUAUGCGAAAGCAUU
rnacentral:rRNA from 1 species